GAGUGCCUGAUUGCCUCUUUAAUCACUUGUUGUCCUCCCCUCCAGCUGCAUCUCCCUCUCUUUCUCCUUUAUUUCCAUGAUAUUCUCUGUGUCUCUCUCCCUGGUUCUCUUGGUUUGAUCCAGUCACCUUUCUGGGCCUACAAAUUUCACACAUCUUCCUCUGUCUCUGUCUUUCUCCCACUACCUUUGUUUUGCCUCUCAGUGUUUGUCUCCUUGCCUCUGUACCUGCAUCUGUCUUUCUUUGUCUUUCCCCUCCCCCUUCUCUCAUCUUUUUUUUUGUCUGUCAGCCUGUUUCUCAAAUGUUUGUUUCUGUCAGUCUUUACCUCUGCUUUUCUGACCUCCUUGGUCUAUGUCUCAGCAUCUCUCUUUCUGUCUGUGCCUGACAGUCUUUCUCAAUCUCAUUGGUCUAACUCUCAUUUUCCCUCUAUACCUCUUUGUUUCAGUGCCAGUCUGAUUCCUCCUUUUGGUUUCUCCUUUUUGGUGCCUGAUUCAGUCUUCCUCAACCUUUUUCUACUUCCGAGUAUCUCUCUGUACCUGUUUGUCUCUUUGCCCAUCUCUACCUCCAUGUCUCCCGGCCUCCAUCUGCGUCAGUGUCUCUAUCUGUGUUUCAUUGUCUCUGCUUCAGUGUGUCACUCUCUACCUGUCUCAGUGGCUGUCUCUGCCAGUGUCUCUGUCUCUCCUAUGUCUCUGUCUCUAUUUCUCCCUCUCUGUCUCCCUUGUAUCUUUCUCUUUGUCUCUGCCUGUCUCUCCAUCUCUGCCUGUCUCUCUGUCUCUCCCGGGUCUUUGUCUGUCUCUAUCUUUGCCUGUCUCUCCAGGGUCUCUGCCUGUCUCUCCAGGGUCUCUCCCAUGUCUCUGUCGGUCUCUGCCUCUCCUGGGUCUCUCUCUCCAUCUCUGCCUGUCUCUCUAUCUCUCCUGGGUCUCUGCCUGUCUCUCCAUCUCUGCCUGUCUCGCUGUCUCUCCCGGGUCUCCGAUUGUCUCGAUCUCUCCCCGUCUCCUCUCCCCCCCCCGCCCCGCCCCGCCCCGCCCCGCCCCGCCCCUUCAGCUCUAGCUUUCGCCUCCCGAGCGUGCCUGCCGUAG
rnacentral:lncRNA from 1 species